rnacentral:lncRNA from 1 species
GUAGGGGACGAAACAGAGAAGGGAGAAAGAAAGAAAAGAAAACGGGGAAAAUAAGGUUUUAAAGGUUUCAAGUUAAUUUGGUAAGUCAAUUUAGCCCAUUUUCUUAUGAUUUUUGAGUUUUUGGAAUCCUAGAGAUAAAUACUACUUGUUUUAAGUGGAAAUUUUGAAAGUUAUUAGAUUUCUAAAUAUGGUUCAUGUUGAAUAAAAUGAUGGAAUUGGGGGUUUAUUUGAUAGAAAUUUUGAUUUGAAUUGAAUAAAGGAUUGAAUUGUAAACUAAGCUAUAAGUUUUGAGUUUUGAGUUUUAGGGAUUGAAUGGAAAUAAAUUUGAAAUUAUGAAAAUAUGCUGGAAAUUUAAUAAUUAAAUUUGAGUUUGGAUAAAAUUUGAAUGGAAAUAAAGAGUGAAUUUAAUUAGGAAAGUGAAUAAACUUAGUAAGGAUUAAAUUGGGAAUAAGGUGAGAAUUGAUUAGAAAUUUAAUUAUUUAUUAUAAUUAAUACUGUAAUUAAUAGUAUAAUUAUUUUAAUUACCGUAGCUAACAUUGUGCCGGAAGCCUCGGCUAAGCAAGAAAAAAGGCCAAGACAACGGGAGUUAGCUUAGAAAUUAUGGUUUGUAUUUCUAUAAUCCGAACUUAGUCUUUAAUUGUUGUAUUUUUAUUUAAUGCAUAUAGAAAUUGUUAGUGUUAGAAUUAUUGUGUUUUAUAAUUGAAAU